UCGCCCUAGCCGCCAGGGGUCCCACUUCCUGCAUCGCGCAAGGCCUGCAAGGGACCUCAGAGGUCACGGAGCCCAGCCUCGUUGGACACACGCGGCCAGCGGAGCCCUGAGAGGGGCAGGCCCGCGUCAGGUCACACAGCCGGUGGGCCACUGGGGCCAGCGUGGGGGCCACAGUGCUCACCCAGGGCCGCCCCCACUCCUCAGUGUUCUCCGGCUUCCUCUGGCUCUGCGGGAAGCAGGCAGGGAGGGCCUGCUCCUUCCGAUCUCUCUGCUGUGGGGGGUCCGUUUCCUGUCAGAGCUGAAUGACUACUGAGGUACCCACGAGUGUUCCUGGAGGUGUUCUAGGAACCAGGGUUGCACAGGACAUGUCAAUCCCUAAACUUAUAGGGCUCCCUUUCAACUGGGAAGGCACAGAUGAUAAAGAAGCCAGUGCCUGAUGAAUCAGAUGGUUCUUCUACGUUGAAGCAUCUGUCAGAACUUCAUUCCUUUUCAUCACCAAAUAAUAUGUAAUUGUAUAGAUGUGCCAUAUUUUGUUUCUUCAUUCACCAGCUGAUGGACCUUUAGAUUGUUUUUACCUUUUGACUCUUAUGCAUAACGCUGCUAUGAACAUUCAUGGACAAGUUUUGCAGCCAGUUUUUUAAACCACCACUGAUCCACAGGCAGGACAUCCAGGGAUGGUCGGUCCCAAACAGGAUCUUAACAUGUCCUAGCUCUGUGACCUUCAGCAAGUUACCCAACAUCGCUGAGCUCGUCUGCAAAAUAGGAUGAUAAAUGUCCCUGGACAAGUGAGGACUAGCGAGCUCAAGGAUGUGAAGUGACUUUCACAAUGAUAAUCUGGCAGAUGCUAUGUAAAAGAACAUUUGGGUUGUCCGCUCAACAAUACCCCUUUUCUCAGUAAUAGAACCUUGAUUUUGGUCAAGCAUGAAGACGCUAUCUGCCUUGUGGGUCUGGACCCCUUCCACUACUACAGACAAAUCACGAUCACUCUCAGCCAAUCAUAAUAAUCCUUCAUUCUCUCCUGUAAAUGGUUUUGGAAUGGCCCAGUGAUAUAGUCCUGGCGAAUGAGACAGGAAGGAGAUCUGCUGGGAGUACUGCAGAACGUGGAUUUCUUAGCCCUUAAACAAGAGGUGCAGAAAAAGCAGCUAUCCUCCUUAGUGACAUAUUGCCACGUCUUCUUGUGAAAAUGCAUACCAAUCAGCCAGCAGAGUGUGAUAAAUGUGAAAAUGGAAGGCAAA